UGGAGGCAGUGCAGGAUCCUGGGAGGGGACGGAAGGAGGGAAGAUGGAAGGAAGGAAGGAAGGAGGGAAGGAGGGAAGAAGGAAGGAAGGAAGGAAGGAAGGAAGGAAGGAAGGGACACACCUCAACUUACAGGACUCAGAUCAUCAAGGUUCACAGUCCACCAGGAGUAGCCCAGAGAGGGAGUCCAGUCUACCACGGGACAGUCCACUCGUCAAGGUCCAGCCAGGUCUAUUGUUGACAGUCUGGGAACGGGAGGAAGGAAGGAAAAGGAAGGACAGAAGGAAGGAACACACACACUCAUAUUCUUAACUUCUGUCUUUCUUACUGAUGCGAUAUUUCUUCUCCUCCUCCUCUUCUCCACAAUGUGUUGAGUAGCUGCAGGCCGGGCGGAGGCUGAGCUGCGGCCCCACGAUGGACGAGGUGUUUGCGGCCACCAAGACAAAGUGUUCGCUGAGCCCCGCCCGCAGCACACACCCGCCUGCACAUCCAGCUGCCGCCCCCUCAG